rnacentral:rRNA from 1 species
AACGAACGCUGGCGGCAGGCCUAACACAUGCAAGUCGAGCGCCCUUUCGGGGGAGCGGCGGACGGGUGAGUAACGCGUGGGAAUAUGCCCUUCUCUACGGAAUAGCCUCGGGAAACUGAGAGUAAUACCGUAUACGCCCUGUGGGGGAAAGAUUUAUCGGGGAAGGAUUAGCCCGCGUUGGAUUAGGUAGUUGGUGGGGUAAUGGCCUACCAAGCCGACGAUCCAUAGCUGGUUUGAGAGGAUGAUCAGCCACACUGGGACUGAGACACGGCCCAGACUCCUACGGGAGGCAGCAGUGGGGAAUCUUAGACAAUGGGGGCAACCCUGAUCUAGCCAUGCCGCGUGAGUGAUGAAGGCCUUAGGGUUGUAAAGCUCUUUCAGCCGGGAAGAUAAUGACGGUACCAGCAGAAGAAGCCCCGGCUAACUCCGUG